CUGCUCACUUUGGCAACACAUAUACUAACAUUGGAAUGACACAGAGAUUAGCAUGGCCCCUCCACAAGGAUGACACGCACAUUCAUGAAGCAUUCCAUUUUUUC
rnacentral:snRNA from 1 species